rnacentral:tRNA from 1 species
UCCCUCGAGGACUAGUGGUUAGGCCUCAUCGCUCUCAACGCUGCGGCCCAGGUUCAAUUUCCCGCCAGGGAA